AUUGAACGCUGGCGGCAUGCUUUACACAUGCAAGUCGAACGGCAGCACGGGGGCAACCCUGGUGGCGAGUGGCGAACGGGUGAGUAAUAUAUCGGAACGUACCCGGAAAUGGGGGAUAACGUAGCGAAAGUUACGCUAAUACCGCAUAUGCCCUAAGGGGGAAAGCGGGGGAUUCGCAAGAACCUCGCGUUUUCGGAGCGGCCGAUAUCGGAUUAGCUAGUAGGUGAGGUAAAGGCUCACCUAGGCGACGAUCCGUAGCUGGUCUGAGAGGACGACCAGCCACACUGGAACUGAGACACGGUCCAGACUCCUACGGAGGCAGCAGUGGGGAAUUUUGGACAAUGGCGCAAGCCUGAUCCAGCCAUGCCGCGUGAGUGAAGAA
rnacentral:rRNA from 1 species